rnacentral:rRNA from 1 species
GAUGAACGCUGGCGGCGUGCCUAAUACAUGCAAGUCGAGCGAAUGGAUUGAGAGCUUGCUCUUAUGAAGUUAGCGGCGGACGGGUGAGUAACACGUGGGUAACCUGCCCAUAAGACUGGGAUAACUCCGGGAAACCGGGGCUAAUACCGGAUAACAUUUUGAACCGCAUGGUUCGAAAUUGAAAGGCGGCUUCGGCUGUCACUUAUGGAUGGACCCGCGUCGCAUUAGCUAGUUGGUGAGGUAACGGCUCACCAAGGCAACGAUGCGUAGCCGACCUGAGAGGGUGAUCGGCCACACUGGGACUGAGACACGGCCCAGACUCCUACGGGAGGCAGCAGUAGGGAAUCUUCCGCAAUGGACGAAAGUCUGACGGAGCAACGCCGCGUGAGUGAUGAAGGCUUUCGGGUCGUAAAACUCUGUUGUUAGGGAAGAACAAGUGCUAGUUGAAUAAGCUGGCACCUUGACGGUACCUAACCAGAAAGCCACGGCUAACUACGUGCCAGCCGCCGUAAAAC